UAGAUUCCAUAUAUGAGAAGUCCUCUUGGAUGCUUCCUGAUGUUUGUUUGAUAGGCAAGUUUCUGAGCUGCUCACAGCAUCCUCAAAAUUUUAAUUGAUUCGGCAUUUUCCUUCAAUUUGACAGCCUUACGUGGUUUGGUAGAAAGAACCAGGUGAACGCCUGCUUCUCGUCCACUGCAAGAACUCUCAUGAAGCACUGGUGGCCUCUGUGAGUGCGGAGGGCGCCUUCCAUGUUUGCAGUGUCAUGUUGUAUAAACAUAGUUGCACCUUUGUUCUUACCUGAUAAAGUUAUGAUUCUUGUUGGGGUCUUACUUCCCAGCUGCUGCAA